GUGGGUGUAGCUCAGUGGUAGAGCACAUGCUUAGCAUGCAUGGGAUCCUGGAUUCAGUCCCCAGUACCUCCA
rnacentral:tRNA from 1 species